AUCUAUGGCCACACCAGCCUGAACACAACCAAUCUCAUCUGAUUUAGAAAGUUAAGCAGGGUCGGGCCUGGUUAGUACUUGGAUGGGGGACCACUUGGGAAUAUGGUUUGCUGUAGGCU
rnacentral:rRNA from 1 species